AUUUGAACUUUGUGAUGCAAUUAUACUCUCAGUGGUCUGAUCAAGUUGCCAUAUUUUUCACCAUCUCCAUCGACUUCCACCAGACAGAAAGACAGAAUGUUUGAGGUAAUGUUGAAACCUCAGCAAUCUCCCAACAGCAACAACUUAAGUCCCAGCAACAUUUCCAGUAGUUUUCAGAGAGCAAUCAAGGUAUAGAGGUUUAAAGUGGAAUGUACAACAUCCUCACACCACCAUCUGACAGAUUGGAAGGAUACUAUUGCACCACAAGAAAUGUCAAGCAUGAUGAAUUCAGAAAAACCUGGAAAGACUUACAUGAACUGAUGCAAAGUGAAGUGAGCAGAAUGAGGAAAACAAUGUAUAUGGUAACAGAAAUUGUUGGGUCCGAGAAAAUCCCCCAAGAAUGGAGACAUGGAGACAAUGCAAGUAAGCAAAGGAUCACCGUUUAUUUCUAGCACGUGCUAGGGCUGCCCCAAAGAAGGGGGGUGUGCCAGAUUGGCUGAGGAAACACCUUUUAUAGUAUAGAGGGCUAGUAUGAAAUGUUGUACAAUAGGAUAUCAUGAUUUGGCAGUUGCGGCUAGCUGAGGGGUUCACAAAACAGAGAGUGUCUGCUUAGCUGCUGGAACGGUUAUGCUGACUUGGGCAAGAGCUUACUCCUGGUCCCCAGAGGGAAGUUGUUCUGACUUCCUUCAUUCCCUACUUCUUCUGCUGUACAUGAGGAAUCUCCCUCAUGCGAUCCUCAUAAGGGGAUUCAGUGGAAGUCAGAGUUUGAUAUUGCUAGUGAAGGACCAUAGCUGAACAGUAUUAAUGUGAUCCUUGACAAAGGCUACUAGACAAUUAAGAAUGCAUGGAACUAGCCCUGGAUGAUCAGUAUAAAAGCAAGAACCCUUAUACUAGGAGUCACGAGGAUGCAAGGGAGCAGAAGAAUUCCCCUGUCAAUAGUCUGCCCGAGUUUCUGGUGGUACAAUGCCUAUGUCAUCUGCCCCCUCUCCAAAUAUCUAGGGGAAAGGUGCAAUGGUCUCAGUCUUCUGUAGCUUCUUCAGAGCUGAGAAUGGUCAUAGAAACUGUUCCUGCCUAUUGUUAGGAGACAGGUAUUGACUGUAGGCAAGGUCCAGGGCUUCAGGCUGGAAUAGUUGCUGAGGUUACAGUGGCAUCUGGGUGACUUCCAUGAGUGCUUUUACCCUAGAAGCAACUAGAGAAGUGACAAGGUUACAAAUGCAAGGUCCACAUAUCCCACAGGGGAGUAGCCAAAACUUGAACAGGGAAGGAAAGGCUGUGGACACAGGGUCUUUAGGGGAGUGUCCUCAGUGACUGCCUGGGUCCUAGGUAGAUGGGGACCUGCUUGGAGAUUUGAAGGAUGUCCAGCAACUGCUUCCCCCAAUUUUCAGACAGGUCACAAGGGGGAGAGUCAGCCCCUAAGAUAGAAGUAUUGAAACCAGUACUGGGCAAAAACUA
rnacentral:lncRNA from 1 species